UUUUCUGCUUUGAUGAGAAAUUACUGUUUAAUUAAUUAUGAUCCUAUUAAAUCACUGCAAUGUUUUAUUGUUAUUGUGUAUUCGCCGGCCUGUGCUUUAAUCACUAAAUGAUGUCAAUUUUAGGGCUUGGAAUUUAAUUAUUGUUGGUGGAAUCUCAAUUUAGGGAACUUAACAUUAGAUUCAUAGUUAUUGUAGGUGUUGGAGUUGGCUGAGAUUGCUUCCGGUUCAAUCAAUUUACUGCUUGAUUUUUCACAAUGCUUCCAAUUACCUUCACUUUUUCUUUUUCUCUGCUUAAUUGAACUUACUUCUUCAGGGAGGAGGAAGAGGUUGAUAGAUUCAACAAAGUUCAAGAGAGUUUCUUGACAAGUUCUUCAACUCUCAGUAUACUUGAAUUCAUGAAGAUGAUGAAGCAUGAAUUAAGAAAUCGCUUGUGACACUAUGUGAACUUCACAGAAGAAAAGAUUGGUUUGACGAGAGAACAACUAAUACAAUGUUCACUGUUUGUUUCCAUCCAGCACCAAUGUAUUUUCUGGCUGAAAUUGAGGGAGCUGAGCAAAAAUCUGAUUCAG